UCUGUAUCAGCACAACACGCACAAAUAUANNNNNNNNNNNNNNNNNNNNNNNNNNNNNNNNNNNNNNNNNNNNNNNNNNNNNNNNNNNNNNNNNNNNNNNNNNNNNNNNNNNNNNNNNNNNNNNNNNNNNNNNNNNNNNNNNNNNNNNNNNNNNNNNNNNNNNNNNNNNNNNNNNNNNNNNNNNNNNNNNNNNNNNNNNNNNNNNNNNNNNNNNNNNGCAAACUGGAGCUCACCAACAAUAGCUGUAUGACCUGGCUCCUAUUUAUGUUGUGAAUGAGCUGAAGCACCUGUGCCUGCAGCAUGAAAUGUAGGUCCCCCGUGAGGGACGUCAGUACGAAAUAUGUACUGAGUAUGUAAAGCUGUAAAUAAUCAUAUGUGAUAUGGGGGAUCAAGAAAAUCAGACGCAAGUGAAUAAAUCAUAAUAGAAGUGAACCAUACUUCAUAAACACUUUUAGGAUCAUGUACAUUAUCAUUAAUCUGAAUUGGGUUCUUGAAUUCAAACACAUUUGUGGAACGGUAUACAUUCGUUCAUUUUAUUCUUUACAAUUAUUAUUCGUAAUUACCUCCUCCUCCCGAACCUCUAACCACGUAACAAUAAUCAAUUCUGUACCGUACUAUGACCAUUAGGCUGCCCCCAGUACAUAUCAACUGUAAUCAUAUCAAAUAUCGGGAUCGGCCCAUGCUAGGCUUAAGCUCCUGAGCUACCACCCACACGUAUAUCAAGUAACACACAUAAGAGAUCUUUCCAAUAACUUAGUUCAAAAGCUUUUGAUAUUAUUACAUUAGUGUUCAUGCCAAUAUAGUACCGUUGGAAUAAUGAUACAUCAAUAGGAACCAAGUAAUAGACUUUCUAUACAAUAACGAUGUAAUAAAGACUCAUUGGUACAUCAACAAUGUGUUUCGGAAUCAUCAAUAUCACAACAAUGAAAUAGGAGCCUUUCGGUAUAUCAAUGAAACAUUUUGACACUUUAUAGAAUGGAAACAACUUCGUUGGUAAUGUAGAACAAUACAUGUUUUUGGACAACCUCGGAAUCUUACUUGAUGGAACAUUGGUGUUUUCAUGCCAAAGAACAUCGUUAGAGUAUGCUUUACAUACCUCGUUGUAGAUUCGGAUACCAAUUCAACACAACUUCCCGCCUUUACAAAUCACUUAUCUACAAUGAAAUGUUUGGCAUCUAGUAUUAGCAACCCAACACCACAAUUCUCUUCCAUAAUUCCAUACUACCAAUAUUUGCAAAACAUUCCAAAAACCAACUUGAACAAUAGGUUUAUGUGUGUAUAUAUAUAUAAUCAUCAUUUCAAUACCACAUCAUCAAUACCACAUCAUCACCCCAAAUUCCUUCACAAUUUAACAUAAUCCAACCAUGCACAAGAAUAAUCCAACAUCAUUUCCAAUCAUCUUUCAACAACAAUCAAAUAACAUACUUCUUAUGCUCACAUGCAUAUAUAUAUAUACAUAUCCAUAUAAAUAACACCAACAUAAUUUACAUCCUUACCAAAAAAAUGGCCCUUUUGAUUUCGAAGUCCUGUUGGCACAAAUAAGGGGUGCUUCUCGAAGCCCUUGAGACGGUGAACACAACUACGGAAUCAAUUUGGAUUUUCUACGGUUGAAUCACAAGAUAAUUGGAGUUGAACUUAGGCUAGGGUUUCUUAUUCUUCAAUGAUUUGGAUGAUAAAUGGUGGAUAUAAGGCUAAGUAUAUGUAUAUAAUGACCAAUUUUCGUCCAUGAGGUGAUGGAAAAUGACCAUAUUGCCCUUAAAAAUUUAAGUAAAUCCGAAUCUGUCCAUGGUGGACUGUUUUGAUAGGCUAAAGUAAAUCGGCCAUAACUCUUUGCUCCGAUAUCGGAUUUGGGUGAAAUUGGUAUCGUUAGAAAGAUAAUUCAAAGGUAUUUCAUUUAAUAUAAAUUAAUCCACCCAGUUCGUCCUGUACAAGUAGUUAUGAUCGUUUGAAGUUGACCCUAAAAAUCUGUUUUGAGAGGCUGAAGUAAAACGAGUAUAACUCCUUACUCAGAUGUUGGAUUUGGAUGAAACCAAUUUCAUUGGAAAGAAGACUCAAAGAUCUUUCUUUUGAUAUAUGGUAGCUCAACCAGUUCAUUAUAUUGAGGGAGUUAUGAUCGUUCAAAGUUGACCCAAAAAACUGGCAGGCCUCAGUAGUUUCCUGCACAUUUUACUGUUCACAUCCCGGCCACCGUUUUAAAGUUUCGAACGAGCUCGCUUAUAUCCGAAACUUAUCCGUUUUUGGAAAUCUUUAUAUCGUUGGAAAGCUUAUUCAAUAACCUUCGUAUGGAACCAUCGACGGGAAAAUUCCGAUAUAAAUAAAGUCGAUUCCUAUACACCUAUAAUCAAACUAUACACUUGAAACCAUCUCAAAAUAAUCAAUACUCAUACUUAAACUCAUAUAUACCUAACUUAGGAUCAAUACAUAUACCCCAACACAUAUAACAAUGACUAAUGCACGUAAUUAAGUACGGGGUGUUACAUCCUUCCCCCCUUAAGGACAUUCGUCCUCGAAUGUGAAUGUAGUUAUUUAGCCGAAACAAGUUCAAGUCCACCAUUAACAUUCACAUCAUCACAUAAAUACUAUGCAUAUAUAAACAAAAACUUACUUGUUAAUGUUCUAACUCCGUUUCUUGAACUUCCUCUUCAUCUUUGAACAAAUGAGGGUACUUAGAUUUCAUUGCUUCCUCAGCUUCCCAUGUAAUCUCUUCCCUUUGUUGAUUUCUCCAAAGUACCUUUACUGAUGCCAUUUCUUUGUUCCUUAACUUUUUAACUUGGCGAUCUAGAAUAGCAACCGGUACCUCUUCAUAAGUAAGAUCCUCUGUGACCUGUACAUCUUCUAUAGGAGUGAUACGAGAGGGGUCACCUAUGCAUUUUCGAAGCAUUGACACAUGAAACACUGGAUGAACCAUUGAAAGUUCCUGGGGUAGCUCUAAUUCAUAUGCAACUUGUCCGACCCUCUUGGUAAUCUUAUAUGGCCCUAUGUAACGUGGGCUUAGUUUCCCUUUUUUACCAAAUCUCAUAACCCCUUUCAUUGGUGAUACCUUUAAAAAUACCCAAUCUCCAAUAGAGAAUUCCAGCCCUCUUCUCCGAAUAUCUGCAUAUGAUUUAUGACGACUUUGGGCUGUUUUUAGCCGUUGUUGUAUCACCUUGACUUUUUCUAUGGCUUGAUACACAAGAUCCGGUCCGAACAUAAGAGUUUCACCCGCUUCGAACCAUCCUAUUGGUGAUCUACACUUUCUCCCAUAUAAAGCUUCAUAUGGUGCCAUUUUGAUACUUGAAUGAUAGCUAUUAUUGUAGGCAAACUCAAUAAGAGGUAAAUGAUCAUCCCAGCUGCCUUUAAAAUCUAUAACACAUGCUCGUAGCAUAUCUUCAAGUGUUUGAAUGGUGCGCUCUGCUUGUCCAUCCGUCUGAGGGUGAAAAGCUGUACUCAGAUUCACUUGUGUUCCCAAACCCCGUUGGAAAGACUUCCAAAAGUUUGCAGUAAAUUGAGUUCCCCGAUCCGAUAUAAUAGAAGUUGGCACUCCAUGUAAUCGGACUAUUUCUUUAACAUACAGCUUCGAAUAUUCUUCAACUGUGUAAGUGGUCUUAACGGGUAAGAAAUGUGCGGAUUUAGUAAGCCUAUCCACAAUCACCCAUAUAGAAUCAAAUUUUCGAGCUGUACGAGGCAAACCUGUAACAAAAUCCAUGUUGAUCAUGUCCCACUUCCAAAUUGGAAGAUCUAUGCAUUGCAUAUAGCCUCCGGGUUUUUGGUGCUCAACUUUAACUCUUUGACAAUUUGGACAUUCAGCUACAAAUUCUGCAAUGCUCUUCUUCAUGUCAUUCCACCAAUACAUAUCUUUCAAAUCUUGAUACAUUUUGGUUGAUCCUGGAUGAAUGGAAUACCUUGAAAAAUGUGCCUCUGUCAUAAUCUUCUUUCUUAGCCCGUCUAUAUCCGGCACACACAAUCGGUUUUGGCACUGAAGUACUCCUUCUCGCGUAAGCUCAAAUGCCUUGGUCGCACCACUCUGAACGUUCUCCUUAAGAUGUAAUAAAAUAGGAUCUGCAUAUUGCUUCUCUUUCACUUCAGCUACUAAUGAAGAUUCCGCAGCAUUAUGUACGAUAAGCUCUUUAUUCGGAGUUUCAAGAAGGCGAACUCCCAAACUAGCUAACUGGUGAAGAUCUUUAACCAUCCCUUGCCUUUCUAUAGGCGCCAUCAUAGCCUUACGACUUAACGCAUCAGCUACCACAUUUGCUUUCCCUGGAUGGUACAAGAUAUCAACAUCAUAGUCCUUUAAUAGUUCAAGCCAUCUCCGCUGCCUUAAAUUUAGAUCCUUCUGAUUAAAAAUAUAUUGCAAGCUCUUAUGGUCAGUAUAUAUAUCAACGUGAACCCCAUAUAAGUAGUGGCGCCAUAUCUUUAAAGCAAAAAUAACCGCUGCCAGCUCAAGAUCGUGUGUAGGAUAAUUUUUCUCAUGUGGCCGUAAUUGUCUAGAAGCAUAUGCUAUUACCUUACCAUGCUGCAUCAAUACACAUCCUAAACCAAUUCUGGAAGCAUCACAAUACACUGUAUACCCUUCGGUGCCUUCUGGUAGUACCAACACGGGUGUAGAAAUCAACUUGUUCUUUAAAUCUUGAAAACUCUUCUCACAGGCAUCAUUCCAUUGGAAUUUGGAUGCUUUAUGGGUUAGCUUGGUUAAGGGUGCUGAAAUGGAAGAAAAGUCUUUGACAAACCUUCUAUAAUAACCGGCCAACCCAAGAAAACUACGAAUCUCCGUAGGCGUUGUGGGCCUUGGCCAGUUCUUCACAGCCUCUAUCUUUUGAGCAUCAACCUUUAUCCCUUCACUAGAUACAAUAUGACCCAAAAAUGCCACCGACUUUAACCAAAACUCACAUUUAGAGAACUUUGCAUAAAGCUUACAAUCACGAAGAGUCUGCAAUGCCUGUCGUAAGUGAUUGGCAUGGUCCUCUUCUGAUCUAGAAUAAACUAGAAUAUCAUCUAUAAAAACUAUCACAAAUACAUCCAGGAAUGGCUUAAAAACCCUAUUCAUCAAAUCCAUAAAAGCUGCGGGUGCAUUUGUUAGCCCAAAUGACAUAACUAGAAACUCAUAAUGACCAUACCUUGUUCGGAAAGCUGUUUUGGGUAUAUCUUUUUCUUUGACCCUCACUUGGUGGUAACCUGACCUCAAAUCAAUCUUAGAAAAGCACUUGGCGCCCUGUAACUGAUCAAAUAAAUCAUCAAUUCUUGGGAGAGGAUAUUUAUUCUUAAUAGUCACCUUAUUCAAUUGUCGAUAAUCAAUACACAUCCUCAGCGAGCCAUCCUUUUUGCGCACAAAUAACACUGGUGCUCCCCAGGGGGACAUACUAGGCCUUAUGAAUCCCUUCUCUAGCAAAUCUUUCAAUUGCUCUUUCAAUUCUCGUAAUUCUGCUGGGGCCAUUCUAUACGGAGGAAUGGAGAUUGGUUGGGUGCCUGGUAUUACAUCAAUACCAAACUCUACUUCUCGUUCAGGAGGCAAACCUGGAAGAUCUUCAGAAAAUACAUCAGAAAAUUCAUUUACCACCGAAACAGCGUGAAGAGUUGGUGGAUCCGCUUCUGUAUCCUUUACUUUAACUAAAUGAUAUAUGUAUCCCUUGGAAUCAUUCUUCUUGCCUUAAAAUAAGAAAUAAAUCAACCUCUUGGGGCGCUAAUUUCACCUUUCCAUUGAAGGACUGAUUCAUUUAGAAAAUAGAAAUAUACCUUUUUCGUGCAGCAAUCAAUUGUGGCAUAACAAGACGCCAACCAGUCCAUACCCAUUAUAACAUCAAAAUCUACCAUUUCUAACUCCACAAGAUCAGCCAUCGUAUCACGACCACAAACAGUUACUAUGCAGUUUCGAUAAACCCUUCUAGCUAUAAUAGAUUCCCCGACCGGUGUGGACACUUCAAAUGGCUUAACUAACAGUUCGGGUAUUCUUUCGAACUUUCCAGCAACCAAUGGAGUAACAUAAGAUAAUGUAGAACCGGGAUCAAUUAAGGCAUAUAAUUCAAAUAAAAAGAUAGACAACGUACCCGUAACCACAUUUGGGGAAGUCUCUAAAUUUUGUCGAUCCGCUAGAGCAUACGUACGAUUUUGAGCCUCGCUAGAACUCGUGUCUCCUCUAUCACCUCUAACAUGACCCAUUGGUUGUGCACCCCUUCCCGAAUAAGGCAUUGAUAAUGAUGAUGCAACAAAUGACCUCGUAGGUCGUGCCAUAUCCCCUAUGCCCCUUCAUGGGCAUUCUCUCAUCAUAUGCCCCGACAUACCGCACCAAAAGCAAACAUUGGUCCCCAGCCGACAUGCGCCCAAAUGAUACCUUCCACAUUUGUUGCAUGGCUCUCGAGGAGGUCUUGAUUGGCUCAUAUUCCCUUGCCCUUGUUACCCCACUGUCCGCGAACUCUGACUCUCACUUCUGUGCCCAAAUUGAUUUCCUCUGAACCCUUGGAACUGUGGUGGGGCACUAGCUGUAGAAUAAGAGGAUAAUGGCCUAGGUGGUCUAGCAGAAAACUGUGGUCUGAACCCUCUUUCGAAUGCCAUGAACUGCCCUGUAGAUCUGGCCCUCUUGGAAUAUCCUCUUUCUGAUUCCUGUGUUCUUCUCCUCUGCCUCUGAUCUUCCAUUUUUUGUGCAAAAGCUUGGAUUCUCGCUAUGUCCAUAUCUUUGUUCAAAGCAGCAAUAGUACAAUCUCUAACCAGAUAUGGAUCUAGCCUAUCCACAUAUUGAUGAACUCUGUCAACCAUAGUAGCUACAACAUUAGGAGCAUAUCUCGACAAGGAAUUAAAUCGAAGACUGUACUCCCUCACGCUCAUAUUCCCCUGACGAAGAUUUAAAAACUGAUCUGCACGGGCCUGACGAAUCUCGAAUGGAAGAUAAUGAUCAAGAAAUGCCUCUUUGAACUCCUUCCAAGUAGCUGGGGGUGCAUCAAUAUGGAUUCUCUCUAUGUCCAUAUCUUUGUUCAAAGCAGCAAUAGUAUAAUCUCUAACCAGAUAUGGAUCUAGCCUAUCCACAUAUUGAUGAACUCUGUCAUCCAUAGUAGCUACAACAUUAGGAGCAUAUCUUGACAAGGAAUCAAAUCAGAGACUGUACUCCCUCAUGCUUAUAUUCCCCUGACGAAGAUUUGAAAACUGAUCUGCACGGGCCUGACGAAUCUCGAAUGGAAGAUAAUGAUCAAGAAAUGCCUUUUUGAACUCUUUCCAAGUAGCUGGGGGUGCAUCAAUACCCCUAGAUCGUUUCCAGUCCUCAUACCAAUAGAUAGCCUCCCCUUUAAAUCUAUACGCCGCUAACUCCACUGUCUCUCUACCCGUUAUAUGCAUAACAUCCAAGGCCCUUUGAAUUUGAUCAAUAAAGUCCUGUGGGUCCUCGUUAAAAUCUGAUCCAGUAAAAGUGGGAGGAUCCAUCUUAAGAAAAUCCUGUGUUCGAAGGCUAGCUACUCUAUCUGUACCACUAGAACCCGUAGUAGGAAUGGCUUGCCCUUGAGCUUGCCCAGCAACUAUACGAGUCAAAAGUUGUACUGCAUUUCUAAGAUCUUGAUCAACAAUAUUAAUAGGUGGCUUUGCGGAUAUAGUUCUCCUCUCCCUUAUUUCUUUCGGACUGGAGGAAGUUUCUGAUGCAUCCUCAGCUGGAGCCUCACUUUGAUUAGCUGGUAUAGUGGGUGACUUACUAGUCCCCUCUCCGGCAGCCACAUCUACUUGCUUACCGGUAUUCUUGCUUCGGGUAACCGACAUCAUUACUAUAAUAAGAGAAACAAACGGAUUCAGUGGUCAACUAUGACUUCAUAUACAAUAUAGGCUCUAUCGCACUAUCUAAGACAUAAAGAAAAGAAACAAUUUCCUAAAUGUCCAUAGCCUCCUGUUUAUAGAUGUGGUGCACAACACACCGAUAAAUAAGACUCUACGUAGACACGGCUUUGUAGACUCACUAGGACGAACCUCUCUGAUACCACUUUUGUCACGCCCCAAAAUCCCAUCGGGCCGGACUGGCACCCGAAGCCGAGAAGGCCCGGGAGAACCCGUUUAAAUACCUGUACUUUCACUUUCAUGUCACCAAAAAUUUGGCCAGCACUUCGUUGCAUAUAGAAGGGUCUAAUUACCUGUAUCAGCACAACACGCACAAAUAUAUAUAUAUAAUACUUGGCCGUCGGGGCCACCACAUAUAAAAAUAUAACAUCACUAUAUGAACUUCCAUGACUUUACCCUUCCUUAUGUCUACAAAGCCUCUAGGAUAUACAUGACAUAACUAGGGUCGGGACAAACCCCCGCCCACACAUGACUCCUGUACAAUAACAAAACAUAAGGGACCGACUCGGCAAGCUCCGAAGCAAAUUGGAGCUCACCAACAAUAGCUGUAUGACCUGGCUCCUAUUUAUG
rnacentral:lncRNA from 1 species